CAGUCGCCGCGGUAAUACGGAGGGUGCAAGCGUUAAUCGGAAUUACUGGGCGUAAAGCGCACGCAGGCGGUCUGUCAAGUCGGAUGUGAAAUCCCCGGGCUCAACCUGGGAACUGCAUUCGAAACUGGCAGGCUAGAGUCUUGUAGAGGGGGGUAGAAUUCCAGGUGUAGCGGUGAAAUGCGUAGAGAUCUGGAGGAAUACCGGUGGCGAAGGCGGCCCCCUGGACAAAGACUGACGCUCAGGUGCUAAAGCGUGGGGAGCAAACAGGAUUAGAUACCCCUGUAGUCCCUGUCUCUUAUAC
rnacentral:rRNA from 1 species